UGUAAAGCCAAAUGAAAACCCCAGCUAGUUCCUGAUCUCAUCUUCCCGAGGAAAGAUCAUCUGAAGACAAGGUUACUGCUUCCAAAGCGCUGAGGGAGCUCUGGGCGUUUCUCUGACAUUGAUUUUUAUAGCUCUGAGGAGGUUAUUUCUAUCCUUUCUGUCAGUAAUGUGAGAUAAAUAGGGAGGAAAAUGAUAUUUCCCCAGGAGAGUACAGUUUAACAGAGUCCCCUAAUGUGAUUGGGGGCCACGAUGAGUUCAGUCAAGCCUUGUCUAAGCCUCUCAGAGCUCAGUGAUCCGACCAUCUAUCUGCGGCUGCAGUGUCUGAAAUUGAAACCCGGGUACCACAGCCUGGCUGCUUGGGAGAACAGGCUUCAUGGCUCGCAGUCAUCUGGCUCUGUCCCAAUGAGGCUGCGGGCCUCCAGGAGAUACAGCCCCGCAGAGAGACCCACUGAGACCCACAUCACAGCAGCUUCAGCAGAGACAGUUGAUUGAAUGUCUCUUCCCUUUGCUGCUUGCAUAGUUUUGGAGGAGCUGGUCCUAAAAAUAGCACGGUCGAGUCCUGCCUGGAUGCCUCCUGCCACCAGUUUCUGCAGGAUUGUACAGCGCAUUACGGUUCUUCCACAUUUACUGUCUCCAGGAAGAAGCAACAUUUUGUAGGAGGAAGAAAUGCAAAGCCCUGGACUUUGGAGACAGGGCACAGCCUUUAAGCUCCGCCCAGCCUUGUUCACCCUGGUGAGUCACAGCCUUACCAGCUUGCCUAUCAAAUGGGCAUAUUCUAAGACCAAGGAACCCGGCUGAGGGUCAAAAAUCUGGCUGAGGGUCAAAUCUGAUAAGAUGCAUUUGUCAACUAUUUGGUAAAGAGCAAUAUGAGUAUUCCCUAUUUUUUUUUCCUUUUUUUGGUACCAGGGAUUGAAUCCAGAGGUGCUUAAUCACUGAGCCCCCUCCCCAGCCCUAUUUUGUAUUUUAUUCAGAGACAGGGUCUCACUGAGUUGCUUAGCACCUCACUGUUGCUGAAGCUGGUUUUGAACUUGCAAUCCUCCCUGCCUCAACCUCCUGAGCUGCUGGAAUGACAGGUGUGAGCCACCACACCUACAAAGUGUUUCCUGUCCUGAGCUGUCUCUGUUCUCUUUAAUGUCAGGUAUGAUUAAGUGUCUUUGGACAGCCCAGCAGCAUUCCUGGUGCAUAGUAGGCGAUGUAAGAUGCACAGUUAAGUUCAUAUUUCUCGUCUUGUCUUUAUUUGAUUGACAGCUGUCUCCUCUACCAGAAUUCCACAAGGGCAGAGACAGUGACUACUUGGUUGCAGGCCAAUGUGCCUGUACCUUUUAGCCCAGUGACCCACCCAGUAAUUUCUAGAGUAACUGAACAGAUGAGUGAACGAAAAUGCACGUUCAAGUUGACAGAGGUUUUAAGAAUGCCUACUGUCUUGCUAGCAUUUUGUAGUUAGGAAUUAAUUGCAAAAAAUCAAAACCCACCAGGUGCAGCGGCACAUGCCUAUAAUCCCAGUGGCAGGAGGAUCCAAGGUUCAAAGCCAGCCUCGGCAACUUUAGCAAGGACCUAAGCAACUUAGAGAGACUCUGUCUCUAAAUAAAAAAUAAAAAGGAGUGGAGAUGUGGCUCAGUGGUUAAGCACCCCGGAUUCAAUCCCUGGUCCCCCCCCCCAAUAAAAAAAGAAAAGGAAUAAAAACCCAACCAAGCUAAUGUAACUAAAGAGAUAACCAAGUCUGAGUGCAGGUAGGUCUCCAGGGGAUGGAUGAUGAACUUCAAGAACCUGCAAGUUCACUUGCUCAGAUUCUUUCUCUCUCUCUCCCUCUCGCCCUCCCUUCCUCUCCUCAUUCCUCUCCCUCUGUAGCUAGUUUCUUUGUCGUCUUUAGCUGCAUAAAGAUUCCUUCUGCUUUGAUCAUACACCACCACAGUCUCUCCUUUUAAGCACUAGACUUUAUAAUAUAGUCAUAAUUAUUACUGUUGUUAUUAUUUUGCAGUGCUGGGGAUCGAACCCAGGGCCUCACCCAUGCUAGGCACCAACGUUUACUUAUUAACCAGUCUCUGAGUUCCUAACCCCCUGUGCAGGGUCCCAGAAGCAGGAUUGCAGGGGGAGGGCAUGGACAGGUAUUCCCAGAUGGGGAAACUGAGGCUGAGAUGUGAUCACUGGUAGAUGCUGUUGACAACAUAGGCACAGUGCCAGGUGCUGGGGGACCAUUCAUUCAGUUAUUGCAGAAAUAUUCUCUGGGUGCCUUCUAUGUGUCAGACACUGUUCCAGAUGCCACAGGUACAGCAGUAACCAGGGGGACAGGAUCCUGCCUUCGUGGGACCUUCGUUCUACAAAGCAAACAACUCUACAUUCCAGGAAGCACUUGAGCGAGACAACUUCAGAGUGACAGAUGUGGAGGAAUUAGCAACUGGGAAGAGGAUGUCAUCGGGGUGCAGGGUGGGAAGGUUAAUUUUGGAGUGCCACUUAGGGUCGCCUCUUCUAUCAUACUAGCCCAAAGUACUAAAAAUAGUCCAAGGUCUAGCUGUUUUGUUUAUGAAGAAGAGUCCUGAGCCGGGCGUGGUGGUGCACCUAUAAUCCCAGCAGCUCCAGAGGCUGAGGCAGGAGGAUCACGAGUUCAAAGCCAGCCUCUGCAACUCAGUGAGGCCCUGAGCAACUCAGGGAGACCUUGUCUCUAAAUAUGGCUGGGGAUGUGGCUCAGUCGUGUGCCCCUGAGUUCAACCCCAGGUCCCCCCUCUAAAAUAAAAAAGAAGAGCCCUGAAUCCUCCCUUUGCUUCUCCUUAUGCUUGAGUUGACACGAGGAACAAUCAGAUGCACUGGAUCCAUUGAAUUUCCAGAUAAGUGCCAUGUGGAUGUCUCUUGUCCAAAUGGGAGAAAAGGAAAAUGUAAAAACCCCUGAUUUCGGGUCAAAUGAUUUUUAUUGUUCGUUUUUUGCCAUCAUUCCACCAAACCGCUAUAUUCUGACACUCACCGAGAGGAGAAAGGGUUUUGCUGAAACUGCCUUCACUUAGGAACAGGAUUGGUCCCAGAGAUGGCCCCAUGAAUGUGGAGGGUGAGAGUAAAGUGUUAAAAUAUUUAGAAGAGAAUGCAGCUCCACAGUGGAAUUUCAGGCAUCAGCAAGUAGGUGGGGAAGUCUGGGGGGGGCAGGGCAGCCUCUCGAAGCUUCCAACUUUAUUGCAGUCCUUGGUAAGUGCAGAGGAAUGUAUCAGCUGAGGCCAAGUCUGAUUUUGCAUGGAGGAAUCAGAAGGUCGGAGUCUUUUACCCCAUUUGUCGCUUUAAAAAAAAAUGGUUUUUAAAAAUUGAAACCAGGUGCAAGGUGCACUGGGGCACUCCUGUAACCCCAGCGACUUGGGAGGCUGAGGCAGGAGGAUCAUGAGUUCAAAGCCAGCCUCCGCAACUUAGCAAGGCCCUAAGCAACUCAGGGAGACCCUGUCUCUAAAUAAAAUACAAAAUAGGGCUGGGGAUGGGGCUCAGUGGUCGAGUGUCCCUGGAUUCAGUCAAGUGCAGUGGCACUCUUCUGGAACCCCAGAUACUCUGGGGGGCUGAGAAAGAAGAUUGCAAGUUUGAGGCCAGCCUGGAAACCUGUGAGACCCUGUCUUAAAAACAAAGUUCAAAAAAUUGACAUAUAAUUCAGGUAUCAUAAAUCUGACCUUUUAUUUAUUUUGGUACUGGGUACCCCAGGGGUGGUUUACCCCUGAGCUACAUCCCCGGCAUUCUCCCUCCCUCCCUUCCUUCCUUCUGAUUGAACCCAGGGGCACUCAACCACUGAGCCACAUCCCCAGCCCUUUUUUGUACUUUAUUUACCAUGUUGCUUAGCACUUUACUGUUGCUUUAAACUUGUGAUGUUCCUGCCGUAGCCUCCCGAGCUGCUGGGAUUAUAGGCAUACACCUCUGCACCUGACCCCAGCACUUUAAUUUUUUUUUUUUUUAAUUUUUGAGACAGGGCUCACUAAGUUGCCCAGGCUGGCCUGGAACUUGUGAUCCUCCUGCCUCAGCCUCCGAGUUACUGGGAUUAUAGGCAGGCACCACUGUUUCUGGCUAAUGUGUGGUCUUUAUUUCUCACUUCUUUUACUUACCACAGUAUGAUUAAGACAUCUGUGUUAUAGCAAGUGUCAGCACUUCAUUUCUUUUUAGAGUCCACAAUAUGGAUAUACCCCAUUUAUUUAUCCAUUCAUCGAUGGAUGAACAUUGGGCUGUUUUCAUUCUUUAUUGUACUUAUGAAUAAAUCUGCUAUGAAUAUUUAUGGACAUUUCUGUAAGGAUGUUGUUGUAAAUUCUCUUGAGUACAUACCUCGGAGUCGAACUGCUGGGUCCUGUGGUAAUUCUAUGUUUAACAUUUUAAGAAAUCGCCAGACUGUAGUUUUAAAUGGUUGCAUCAUUUUAUAUUUUAUACUUGCAGAAAAAUCCACUCUACUGUCAUGUAUAUCUUAAAAAAUAAAAUAAUUUUUUAAAAAAAAACAACUCCAAUUUCUCUACAACCUCAUCAAAACCUGGUAUCAUCCCUGUUUUUUUUUUAUUAUAGGCUACAGACAUUAGUUCCCAAACUGUUAUAUAUAGUGGCUUAUUUUUGG
rnacentral:lncRNA from 1 species